UCUACGGGAGGCAGCAGUGAGGAAUAUUGGUCAAUGGACGAGAGUCUGAACCAGCCAAGUAGCGUGAAGGAUGACUGACCUAUGGGUUGUAAACUUCUUUUAUAAAGGAAUAAAACGAGGCACGUGUGCGUUUUUGCAUGUACUUUAUGAAUAAGGAUCGGCUAAAUCCGUGCCAGCAGCCGCGGUAAUCCGGAGGAUCCGAGCGUUAGCCGGAUUUAUUGGGGUUAAAGGGAGCGUAGAUGGGUUGUUAAGUCAGUUGUGAAAGUUGUCGGCUCAACCGUAAAAUUGCAAUUGAUACUGGCAGUCUUGAGUACAGUGGAGGUAAGCGGAAUUCGUGGUGUAGCGGUGAUAUGCUUAGAUAUCACGAAGAACCCCGAUUGCGAAGGCAGCUUACUAAACUGUGACUGACAUUGAUGCUCGAAAGUGUGGGUAUCAAACAGGAUUAGAUACCCCAGUAGUC
rnacentral:rRNA from 1 species